rnacentral:rRNA from 1 species
UUCAGCAGGGACGAAGCGAGAGUAGACGGUACCUGCAGAAGAAGGACCGGCCAACUCACGUGCCAGCAGCCGCGGUAAUACGUAGGGUCCGAGCGUUGUCCGGAAUUAUUGGGCGUAAAGGGCUCGUAGGCGGUUUGUCGCGUCGGGAGUGAAAACUCAGGGCUCAACCCUGAGCGUGCUUCCGAUACGGGCAGACUAGAGGUAUGCAGGGGAGAACGGAAUUCCUGGUGUAGCGGUGGAAUGCGCAGAUAUCAGGAGGAACACCGGUGGCGAAGGCGGUUCUCUGGGCAUUACCUGACGCUGAGGAGCGAAAGCAUGGGGAGCGAACAGGAUUAGAUACCCUGGUAGUCCAUGCCGUAAACGUUGGGCGCUAGGUGUGGGGACCUUCCACGGUCUCCGUGCCGCAGCUAACGCAUUAAGCGCCCCGCCUGGGGAGUACGGCCGCAAGGCUAAAACUCAAAGGAAUUGACGGGGGCCCGCACAAGCGGCGGAGCAUGCUGAUUAAUUCGAUGCAACGCGAAGAACCUUACCUGGGUUUGACAUAUACCGGAAAGCUGCAGAGAUGUAGCCCCCU